AUGAACGCUGGCGGCGUGCCUAAUACAUGCAAGUCGAGCGAACAGAUGAGGAGCUUGCUCCUCUGACGUUAGCGGCGGACGGGUGAGUAACACGUGGAUAACCUACCUAUAAGACUGGGAUAACUUCGGGAAACCGGAGCUAAUACCGGAUAAUAUAUUGAACCGCAUGGUUCAAUAGUGAAAGACGGUUUUGCUGUCACUUAUAGAUGGAUCCGCGCCGCAUUAGCUAGUUGGUAAGGUAACGGCUUACCAAGGCAACGAUGCGUAGCCGACCUGAGAGGGUGAUCGGCCACACUGGAACUGAGACACGGUCCAGACUCCUACGGGAGGCAGCAGUAGGGAAUCUUCCGCAAUGGGCGAAAGCCUGUCGGAGCAACGCCGCGUGAGUGAUGAAGGUCUUCGGAUCGUAAAACUCUGUUAUUAGGGAAGAACAAAUGUGUAAGUAACUAUGCACGUCUUGACGGUACCUAAUCAGAAAGCCACGGCUAACUACGUG
rnacentral:rRNA from 1 species